GAUGAACGCUGGCGGCGUGCUUAACACAUGCAAGUCGAACGGAAAGGCUCCUGCUUGCAGGGGUACUCGAGUGGCGAACGGGUGAGUAACACGUGGGUGAUCUGCCCUGCACUUCGGGAUAAGCCUGGGAAACUGGGUCUAAUACCGGAUAGGACGAUGGGUUGGAUGCCAUUGUGGGAAGUUUUUCGGUGUGGGAGGAGCUCGCGGCCUAUCAGCUUGUUGGUGGGGUAAUGGCCUACCAAGGCGUCGACGGGUAGCCGGCCUGGGGGGGGGUACGGCCACAAUGGGACUGAGAAAAGGCCCCGGCUCCGACGGGGGGAAGGAGGGGGGAAGAUUGAACAAUGGGCGCAAGGCCGAUGCAGGGACGCCGCGGGGGGGAUGACCGGCUUCGGGUUGUAAAAUCCUUUCGCUAGGGACGAAGCGUUUUGUGACGGUACCUGGAGAAGAAGCACCGGCUAACUACGUG
rnacentral:rRNA from 1 species